rnacentral:rRNA from 1 species
UACGUAGGGGGCUAGCGUUGUUCGGAAUUACUGGGCGUAAAGCGCGCGUAGGCGGCUUUGUAAGUCAGGGGUGAAAUCCCGGGGCUCAACCUCGGAACUGCCUUUGAUACUGCAAAUCUCGAGUCCGAUAGAGGUGGGUGGAAUUCCUAGUGUAGAGGUGAAAUUCGUAGAUAUUAGGAAGAACACCGGUGGCGAAGGCGGCCCACUGGAUCGGUACUGACGCUGAGGUGCGAAAGCGUGGGGAGCAAACAGG